UUUGCCACCACAUACACCAGAUACACCUCCCAGGUGUCAGACCAGGUACUACCAGUCAAGAUAAAGAGGGCAGGUAGGGUGAGGAAGGUGUUAUCAUAAUCGCAAUUCCCCACGUGAAAAACCCAUCUCCAGAAUGGAAUGCAACCUGGCCUGAACAAAUAAAGGUGCUAAGUCGUAUUUUCACAACAAAGGGAUAUGUAUGAUUGAGAAGGGCAUGCCUGGAUCUAAGAUUUCUCUCUGACUUCACUCCUGUGGUACGUUGGUGGGGAAAAAAAACCCAGAAGCUUUCCUUUUGGCAAUUAUAGGGACAGAACUACCCAAGCUGUAUAGAAAUUUAUUCAUGUAUGCGACUACAGCGGCAAGAACGUUACUUGCCCCAAAAUGGAAAGAAUAAAAAAUGCCAGCAAAAGACGAAUGGAUACAAAAACUUACGGAAUACAGUGAAAUGGCAAAACUUACCAGAAGAAUAAGGAAUCAAGAUAACAAACUUUUUUUUUAAAAUAAAAGAAUGGAAAUGGUUCAUUGAAUAUUUACAACCAAACUGUAAACAGAUAAGAACAUUGGCAGGAUUGUUGUAAUAACCUGCAGUUUUAUAAGAGUAUAUAUUAAAAGUAGAUGAAUAAAUGUGUAAAUUAAUUUGGAUAUGAAUAAAAUAUUUUGAAAAAAAUUAAGGAACCGCAGAAGGAAGGGGAAGGAAGUCAAGUUUUGAAAUGUUCAAAUGAUUGUAAAAUUAUUGACAGGUAUAAAAUUGAAACUCAUUAAUAAAAUAAAAGAUAAAGAUAAACAUUAAGAAAAAAGACACCACUCCUAUGGUGUUUGUGAUGUUUUGAUGACACUGUGUGAAAUGUGUUAUGGGAAAAUGUGAGAAUUUAAAAAACUCAUGUGACCUUUGUUCAGGGCUCUGUCUUUUUUGCUUGCCUUAAAGGUUGGAACCUUUGUUGCAACAAAUAAAGAUCAGGCCUAUUGUCUGCUGAUUUGUUUUUCA